UACGUAGGGUGCAAGCGUUGUCCGGAAUUAUUGGGCGUAAAGAGCUCGUAGGCGGUCUGUCGCGUCUGCUGUGAAAACUCAGGGCUUAACCCUGAGCUUGCAGUGGGUACGGGCAGACUAGAGUGCGGUAGGGGAGACUGGAAUUCCUGGUGUAGCGGUGAAAUGCGCAGAUAUCAGGAGGAACACCGGUGGCGAAGGCGGGUCUCUGGGCCGGUACCGACGCUGAGGAGCGAAAGCGUGGGGAGCGAACAGG
rnacentral:rRNA from 1 species